rnacentral:misc_RNA from 1 species
CUCCAUCACUCCCACUACUCGCGCAUCUAAACUAUGCGCAAUAUUCAUGUCUGUGGCCUCCUUGGGCACAUCCGAGUCCACCAGCGAAAGAAGCGAGCUUCUGCAGCCCUCGAAGCAGCCUGGCGAUGUACCAGUGGCCGCCGCUUUCCCUGCUGCUCAACUGGAAUGAGGCAGCAACGCAGAAGCGGCAACAGCCUUGCCCCUUGCAGAAGGAAACUCCGCGCUUGGCAGCUCACACAUAGAUGCAGCUGAUCGCGUGAUGGGCUCAGAGCUCACCGACCGUGCCCGCAAAACCGUAUCAGCUGCACUCAAAUAAUGAGAAUUCGACACUCGUGAGACAGAGAGCGCCUCCUCCAGUUGCUAGACUGCCUUGUCCCUGUGGCAGAGAUCCACGCCCUCAGCACCGAGCAAACGCCACCAGAGCGGCAGUCGGCCAAUCGUCACACUACAGAGACAUCUCCCACAUACUGCACGGCCUACCGCCGUCCUGUACAGCUUUUGCUGUCUCGAUGCUGCAACCCUGAUCGCAUCGUGCGCUUUGACUUCCGUAUGCUGCUUGCGCGUAGGUCCUGCCUCCACAGCCCCCGCCAGCCGCCUUCCAGUGCAAAAGGUGGCGUACAGCGUCCUUUAAACCGCUUUGGUUUCUUUGUGCGCGCGGUUUCCUUUCACGAACCUGCUCACAUGAGCGCCCCGCUCGAAAAGCUUCCGCGCGUCCUCGGCCCACAUCAGCGGCCUCGAUAAGUUCAAGAUGUGCCGCCUCCUCGAGAAGCUGGUGCUUAGCUCCUGCAUGCCUUUCGCACCUUGCCGGCGCUUUCCGACCCGUUGAGCCUCAGGGAGGUAGAUGUGUCCCACACAGCCAUCGUUGGCCUCAGGGUGGUGUGCCACUGCUGACGACUGCAGCCUUUGAAUGCGAGCACCUGCAAGAUGCUGAGUAGCGCCUCUACGCAGCAGGCGCUCAGGGGCCUCAAGGUCCCCAGGUCUCUCCUUCACCGGCGCGGACAGCAUAACCGUCUACUGCAGUCUCACCGUUUUGAGGUUGGUAGGCCUGCGCCGCGGUCUUGGGACCAGGUGGUAAUGGGCUGGAGUGACAUCUGCGUUUCGUGGAUCUCUCGUGAACCAACAUGCCGAGGUUGAGAGCACAUGGCAGUACCCGUCAUCACUCGACCACUUGGCGUAAGAAGUCUGCAG